UACGGAGGGUGCAAGCGUUGUCCGGAUUUAUUGGGUUUAAAGGGUGCGUAGGCGGCCCGUUAAGUCAGUGGUGAAAGCCUCCAGCUCAACUGGAGAACUGCGUCCGAUACUGGCGGGCUUGAAUCCGGGAGAGGGAUGCGGAAUUCCGAGGUGUAGCGGUGAAAUGCGUAGAUAGUCGGGAGGAACAUCAGUGGCGAAGGCGACCACCUGGCCCAACACUGACGCUGAGGUGCGAAAGCGUGGGUAGCAAACAGG
rnacentral:rRNA from 1 species